rnacentral:rRNA from 1 species
UACAGAGGGGGCAAGCGUUGUUCGGAAUUACUGGGCGUAAAGGGCGCGUAGGCGGCCUUCUAAGUCGAACGUGAAAUCCCUGGGCUCAACCCAGGAACUGCGUCCGAUACUGGAAGGCUUGAAUCCGGGAGAGGGAUGCGGAAUUCCAGGUGUAGCGGUGAAAUGCGUAGAUACCUGGAGGAACACCGGUGGCGAAGGCGGCAUCCUGGACCGGUAUUGACGCUGAGGCGCGAAAGCCAGGGGAGCAAACGGG